AUUCCAGCUCCAAUAGCGUAUAUUAAAGUUGUUGCAGUUAAAAAGCUCGUAGUUGGAUUUGUGGAGGGCCGUCCGGUGUGCUCUUUUGAGCGUUACUUGGGUAGCUCGUCCAUCCUUGGGUGGAAUCUGUGUGGCAUUAAGUUGUCGUGCAGGGGAUGCCCAUCUUUUACUGUGAAAAAAUUAGAGUGUUCAAAGCAGGCUUAUGCCGUUGAAUAUAUUAGCAUGGAAUAAUGAGAUAGGACCUUGGUACUAUUUUGUUGGUUUGCGCACCGAGGUAAUGAUUAAUAGGGACAGUUGGGGGUAUUCGUAUUCCAUUGUCAGAGGUGAAAUUCUUGGAUUUUUGGAAGACGAACUACUGCGAAAGCAUUUACCAAGGAUGUUUUC
rnacentral:rRNA from 1 species